rnacentral:rRNA from 1 species
GACGAACGCUGGCGGCGUGCUUAACACAUGCAAGUCGUACGGUAAGGCCCUUUCGGGGGUACACGAGUGGCGAACGGGUGAGUAACACGUGAGUAACCUUCCCACAACUUUGGGAUAACGCUAGGAAACUGGUGCUAAUACUGGAUAUGUGCUCCUGCUGCAUGGUGGGGGUUGGAAAGCUCCGGGGGUUGUGGAUGGACUCGCGGCCUAUCAGCUUGUUGGUGGGGUAGUGGCCUACCAAGGCGGCGACGGGUAGCCGCCCUGAGAGGGUGACCGGCCACAUUGGGACUGAGAUACGGCACAGACUCCUACGGGAGGAAGCAGUGGGGAAUAUUGCACAAUGGGCGCAAGCCUGAUGAAGCAACGCCGCGUGCGGGAUGACGGCCUUCGGGUUGUAAAACGCUUUCAGCAGGGACGAAGCUUUUUGUGACGGUACCUGCAGAAGAAGCACCGGCUAACUACGUG